UCACCUAGAAGAAUAUUUGAAGAUACAACUCAGUACUGUCUUCCUUUAAUCACAGCAACAGUAUUGAAUUAUGAUUCUGUGCUAAAUACAGAGGAGAAGCUGACAACCUAUAUUUUACUCCUCAAAAAAGAAAAUAAAAGGCUUAACUCAUUCAGGCAAUAUUCUGUAUUUCAGUACCUGGUGAAAAAUCCUUGCCUGGCCAAAUAAUUUGAUUCUUUGUGCUGGAAAGUGACAGGAUUCAUUCAGAAGCCCCAAGCUUCCUCCUGGCUUGAAGUAAGUGACAAUUCUUUCUCUGAUUCUCUACUUGGUGACCCCAAACCCCAUAAAAUAUGAUUCUCUGUCUGCUGUGGUUAAUGUGUUCCUGUAUCUGUCUCUCCCAACAUGGAAAUAUAGCAUUUUGCUUAUAAUUUCGAGGGAUCCAGAGGUCCCCAGGAACACAUCUCUGAACCUAAGGGUGCAUGGGACCCAGAAAAAAUAUUUUCCUCCAAAGUUUACUGAGCAACAAAAUCUACUGGGUCGGUGAGAGCCCUUGGAACUGAGCCAGCUGUAUUCCCAAAAUCAACAAGCUCUUUUUCACAUGCUACACUCA